CUCCUUUGCUUGUUCUUCUGGUGCCACUGCAUGCCCUCCUUUGCAUCUCCAUGCCUCUGAGCAACCUGCCUAUGAGCACUCUUUUUUAGGAUGCCAGCAGAGUUCUCAUCUGUACCUCCAACUUGUAAUGAAAGCCGACUGUCAAUGUUUGACUGCAUAUGUCAGAACCUGACAUUACCAUCAGAAGGAGAAAAUACUUUGGCAUUAAUUGGUGAUCUUAAAUGAAUGUUUUGGAUCUUUGAAAACUAAAGAGGGAAAGAAAAGAUCCCAUGGAAUCCUUCUGACAGAAACAACAAUAUUGACACCAGUAAUGAAGGAUCUGCUUACCCGAAACUUUACAGUGCUAUGAUAGAAUUUCUUCAUUUCCACUUUGUCUGACUACAGAGAUGAUGGAAAGAGAAAAAAGCACAGUCAAGAACCACAUGUCAAGAAUGAUCUUUGCUACUCUACACUUGGUAUCAAAUACCAUGGGAAUGAGAAUGCUACAGUAAAAGAAGCAGCGGAUGAAGAGUGAAGCAGGCUUGAAAUCUCCCAUUUUUGAAGACCUUCCCAAAGAAAAACAGACAGAAAGUGGCAUGACAGUAUCUUGGAGAAUGAAGAAGUGAAAUAUACAGCAAAGUGAUCUUUGAAUAAACACCACGUCUCCUCAACAUUUAAACUUACUUUUAUAUUCCUAACAGAAGGAGUUGUAACUAAAAAAGGAGAAUGUCAGAGCUUUUUAAGAAUCACAGUUUUCUGAAAACACAACACAUAUCACGUUGCCCAAAGAAUUAUAAUUUAAGGAUGUGAAAAUGCAAUAGCAAUAAAACCAUUGGAUAAAAUGAAGAUAUGUCAUUAAAAGCAGAAAAAGCACGUCUGAAGUAUGUGCUUAUCAUUCCUCUAAUUUAAGACUUCCGUAGAUUCUGUUUCUUAAAACUCCCAGACAGGAGAUUAAUCAAACUGUUCUAAUACACUUUUUCAUCUCAUCACCUUUUUUUUUGUUUCACAUAUUCCCUUUACCCUGGCCAUCUGCAGUGUAAUGGAAUGCUUUCUUAUUUUGAGCUAACAUAUCACAAUUAGUUUUACAGCUUCUAUGUAAGGAAUUUCAACUAAUUUCUACUCUUCUCUGUUGCUGUAUUUGCCCAAGGCAUUAGCUAUUUUAGAAAAAAAAACACUUAUCAGAAGUGUUAUGACAAAGGCCCCCGCUAUCUGCUUUUGAGGGAGAAGCCAAAAAGAUGUGUGGGAUUUUUAUUGUUUCACAGCCUCUCCAAGACAAACUAAAGUCUUCUUUAUCAUAAACAUGGAGCUUUAUCUCUGCGGUAUAGCCCAAAGGAAUCAUGUUGUUAUUUGGGACUGAUUAGAAGAUCUGUGAAUCUGUUUAAAGCUAUUUACCACACAGUUGAUAAGAAAUUGAUUUUCCUUGCUACUUGAUUUGCAUGAUUUCUUCCUCUGUUACUUUCUAAUAAUGAGAUGCUUAAAUUUUCUGUGGUUAAUACAAAUGGAAGAGGCUAGAAGUUGAACACCGCUGAUUUGAAGGUGUAAUUUGUGUGUGUACUUCUUGUGAAAGUACACUUGAAAAUACCUUGGCUAAAGAAGCCCUUUCUAACUUCUCUCUCUCACACACAUUUAGUGGCACUUGCCAUGAGUAGGUGAUUCCAGUGCCGCAUGGCUACUUGUCACUGCAUAUUGUACUCUGGGUGGAAACUGGGUCCUGGAGCAGUAGUACCUCCAGCCUGCCCUCAGAUCAAUUCUCCAGCAGAGUUAAGGUGCUUUCCUCUUUUUGUUUGGAGGUGUUCCUUUCACUGUGUGUGUGCUCUUUAGUGCAUAAGCCUUUUAUUAACACUAUUUAUAGAUGUUCUAUAAAUUCAUAUAUAUAAGCACAUAUCUGCCAGUAGGACAAGCAUGAGCAGCCAUCAGGAACAAGAGCAUAUUUUCUGGGUAUGAGAGCCUGCUAAAGUUGUUCUCUGCUUUGAAGAGACCAUAUUCAAUGAGAGUAAUUAGUUCAUCACACUGCAUUACAAUAUUUUCUGAUUCCCAUUCGCUACGACUCAAAUAUUUUGUACCUGUGAGAAGGGCUAGUUUGACUUAAUGGUUGGACUAGAUGAUCGUAGUGAUCUUUUCCAACAUUAAUGAUUCUCUGAUUCUCCGGUUCUCUGAUUCUGUGACUUAUGCUUUUAACCUCCUCUGUGAAGGAAAUAAUACCUCAUUUGAAUACGUAAUCAUUCAUUCUCAUCUCACAGAUGCAAUUACAGACUGUAUUGAUUUUGCACUGGGCUUUUUCUGGCUUUACUCUGUGUAUGAAAGUUUUCAGAGGGUGAAUAGGCUUGUGAUAUAGACUAUUGCCUCCUUCCCUCUGCUUGUGUUACAUAGUUGAAUAUUUUGUGCUAUGUAGAAGCAGAUUUGCAGGUACAGAGGCAAAUCUCUUUCCUUACUGGCACACUGCCUAGCUGGGCAGAAAAACACUUCUUUGUUUUUCUGUGCUGAACUGUGCUGAAUGCAAGGGUUUGUCUCUGAGCUGAUGCAUUAUUCUUUAAGCAAAUUUAUCUACGACCUUUAUGCAGUAUUUCACAUUUACUAGACCUAUACUUACAAAAGUAUAUAUCCCUUUUCAGAGUGGAAGUACCUUCCAGAAGUAGUAACUUCACAUGGCCCAAUAAAUGGAAAGUUAGGACUGUAUCUCAUGUACUGGGAAUGUGGCUUCAUUAUUACCUCAAACACAUUUUGUUUAGCAAUAGCAACAUAUCUAAUGAUAGAAUUACAGUAGAAAUGUAUUUUUAGACAUGGAAAUAUAUAUAAUGAUAGAAUGAAAACAAUAAUGACUUUUUUAAAGUAUUUUUAUCUUGUAGGUUUUACCUUGAUGUAAUUCUCUCCAAGUGGAGGAAAAAUAUUUAGGCACCUAUAGUACAACAGAAGAAAAAGGCCUUGAGAGAACAGGUUAUGGAAAUGCAGCACAGAGUGUGCUAAUGUAUCUUUUAAGUACUGCAGCUUUGAAUCUUUCUGUGUUAAGAGUUCAAACAAUACAGGAAUCAAAAUACAAUGGGUGAUUUUAGAAUAAAGCAAUUUUAACCUUUACUAGUUUGCAAUCUUGAGUUUAAUUCUUUUCUGCUUUUUGGCCAUGAAUACCAAAUACUGAAUUCAACUUCCUCUUUUAUCUACCAUGUCACCCUGUAGUGUAUGAAAUACUAUGAUAAUGUAUUUCAUAAAUGCAUGCAGUCUGAGAAAAAAAAACAACAUGUUUCUUUCUGCUGAAUUCAAUUAUAAUCCUCCUCUUUACACCACAUAAGAAACUUUCUUCUGUCUAUCUGGGAAUACAGUCUCUCUCUUAUAAGAGAUUCUGUUUUUACUGAGUACUGACAAAACUGAAACCUGUGUCUUAAAUAAAUAAUUUGUUGUUGUGAAUAAAUUAUGUAGAACCUCUAUUUCAAAAAAACAGUUUUCAGAAGAGACAAUGCAUAGCUGCCCACAUGUCCACAAACCACAGUACUAUAGCUGAAAAAGAUUUCAGUGUGACAGAAAAAUGUAAACCUGGUCAUCAUGAAAGGUAUUGAUUCAAAGUCAUCCUCAACAUGCACUAUCAAGUCCACUGUGUGUAGAGUUACAGAGAUCAGAACCCUACGCAUAUCUACUCCCACUUCCAACCUUAGAUGAUUUAGGAAACCUCAUGAUUUUCUUCUGCUUUGACUUUAGCUAUUCUGAUUAAGCUUUCUUCGUAGUCACUAGAAAGCUUCUCUGAAGAGAGAUUCAUAGUAAUUAAGAUGCUUCUUCUCUUAAGUGUUUAUGAAAGGAGGCUAUCCUUUGCCUUCACAGGUAUUCUAUGGAAAUUUGUGAAUGUCCUUUUGUAUUUUCAAUAAUUUAUUUAGUAUAAAAUGUAGUAGUCUGCUAAUGAUGAUUAACAGAAAAUUGAAUUGGGAAGAUUACAAAGUAGGAUUAAAUGGGGAAAUUAAACUAUUUAGACUGAAUAAUAGAAAUAAGAGCAAAUCUAAUGCUACAUAAUGAAUACAUUUAUUUAAGAACAAAUUGUAUUGUAAGAAUUUAUUUUGUGAAUGGUAGUAUCCUCAAUUGCAGAUGGCAGAAGAUAAAUAUCCAAUAGUUUCAUUCCACAGCAGGGUGGCUAUGAACCAUACUGUAUUUUACUUAUGAAAAGCAAUGAUGAAAACUUAGCCGUAGAAUGCAUCUAACAUUUUGUUUGUGGAGGAAGCAUUAAUAUAGAUACAUAAACAAAUGGUGAAGGUUAUUCUGACCAUCUGUACUCUAAAGGUGAAUUAAUAUAGGAAAUGAUAAAGUGUCUUAAAAUGAUUUAGGGCCCUGACAACCUGUCUUGUAAAAGAACAACAAAAGAGGUUGAGAGGCAGUCAGAUCUUUAUUUUUAUUUUAAGUUUUGGUAGAUAAACAGUCAGGGAAAAGAGAUAUUUGAGCUGAGCAGUAUUGUAACAAGAAUAAAUGUGUAGAGAAACAGCAUGAAUUAGUAUGAAAGUUUCUAAGUCUUUAAAGACUGUGACAGCAUUUCAAUCUAGAUAGCCUUCUAGUAUUCUAGAAUGUAAGGAAAUUAUCUCAAGUUGCACCAGGGGAGAUUUAGAUUGGAUAUCCAGAUGAAUUUCUUCAUGAAAGUGUAAUUAGGAAACAGAACGAGCUGCCCAGGGAAGUGGUAGAGUUUCAAUUCUUGAGGGUAUAUAAGAGAUGUGUGGAUGUGGCACUUAGUGAAUGGUUCAGUGGUGGACUUGGUAUUAGGUGAUAGCUGGAUUUUAUUUUAUAGAUCUUUUGCGAUUGUGAUAUACUGCAAGAUUUUGUCAGCUAAGAUCAUUAAAGGUGUCUUAGACAAUGAUUCCCAAGAAUGUAAUAAAAUGGAUACCCAGGAAAUCUUUGGAAAAUUUCAAAUACAUAAGGACAGGGAAAGUGAAUAAGUUAGUGAAUUUGCAUAGGUGUCACUAGGUCAGUUACUAUAAAAACUCUAAACAGCUCAAAUGUUAAUAAUGUGAAGUGAGCUUCUAACAUAUGCAUAGUAUUUUAUGGACUUGAAAUAAAUUGUUGACACUUUCAAUCCCAUGGAAUUUCAAGAAGUCAUUGAUUUAAUUUUAAUUUUCCUCAUCAGUCUUAAAAUUUGUAUCUUCCCAUUCCUCAUAAUUUCUUUUUUUUAAGAGGAAAAGUGGCUGAGUGACACUCAACUUUAGUAAUCCAAGAGAUCAUGUCUUUUCCUGUUUGCUGCAUGUUCUUUAAUACUGGCAGUACGUUAGAUUUUCUUUGCACUAAGAGAGGAAAAAAUACAUUUUUAUUUCCCUUCUAUUUUAGGGCUGUGCUUGCUUCACAAUACAAUUUGAAUUAAAUUUGAUGUUACUUUUCCUCUACAAUUUUCUUAUAUAUUUGAUUAAUUUAAAGAUAACAAUGCAAUACUUGGAUGAGUACUUUUGAUUCUAUAUACAUUCAAGAAUAGGCCAUAAGCAUUAAUAACCUUUAAGUGAACACCAUGUAAAUUAAACUACCCAUUGGAAUUGAUGACUUUCCUUUGUUCAGAAUGUGUAAAGAAAUUAUGCCUGUCUUGGCCCUAAACAAGUGUUCUGAAACAAAAUAUAAAGAUAAUUCAUUUUGCAUAUCUCAUGUUUUAUUCUUACAGCACAAUGGACAAAGAAGAAACAACAUUCAAGGAAGCCACUGUCUUUCUGAAUUACCCACUGACAAUGGGCACCAAACAAACCUCCUCAUGCAGCGCUGAUAAAAAUCUAAUCACCUAGGCUGCAUGCCAUUCCUCCUGUUUAGUUCAAAGGUUUGUCAUACCAGCUUCUUUGACAAUCCUCUUAGUUAUUCAGUCACAACAAGCUGUGAAUCCUCUAAUCUUCUUUAAGGUACUCUCUAGGGAGAAAGCUGCCGUACACAUGACAUUCUAUCUGAGUUACCAGGAUAAAACAUGAAUAAGAUUUUAUUUUAAUUAGCAGUUUUGCAGUAUGAUAUGUGCAAAGCAAAGUAGGAUGUGCAUUGAAAGUACCAAUUAACUUUUAAUAAUCACCUUUCUUUAAUGUCAGUAGUGAUAUAAAGUUGCUUAAUUGCACUGGAUAUUUACCAUGAUUUAAAAAAUAGAGGCAGAAUCAUGUCUGUCACUAAUCAUUCUAGAACAAAAACAUAACAUUAUAGGAAAGCACCAUAUGGGAAUAAACAAGGCUAUUGUGCCAUUGGGGCAUUCUUAUUUGUAAGUGAUUAAUUCUCUGUUUGAGGUAUCUGUCUCUCACCAGGAAUGUUUAAAGAUAUUUUUUAGCACAUACACGUAAGUGUUGUAUAGAGUUCAUGAGCACAGCACAAAUCCUUCUUUAAACUUUUUACUCUAAUUUUUAAUAACUAUGGGGGAAUAAAAAGCUAAAACGUUGCAAUAUUUCAAAGUGUGAAUUUAAAAAAAGGUUGCAGUAAAAUUUCCCAAAUGAAAAGCUUUAUUUUCAGUUGACACUUUGA